GUGGCUCUGUCCCGAGCUUGUCUGUGUGGCGGCGGCUGCGAAGCGGGUACGGGAGGAAGCAGAGGUACCCUACAAGGAAGACCUGACAAUGGGAGGGAAAUGACAUGCCAACAUCACUGCUAACUAUACCUGUGGGGCCUCCUGUCAGACAGGCAUCCUGACCCUGGAGACUUCCACCCUGGUCUUGACUUGCUGGUAAUGUGCCCUUCAUGUCCCUGUCAAUGAAAAUCAGGCAGAGGGAACCACCUUCCGUGAGAGGUGUCUGUUGGUGGAGUCCCUCAGGAAGCUGGUAACAGAGCAGCAGGAGGAUAAGGACUUAAUCGACAGUAUGCACGUGGAAACACCUGGGACGGAGGAUGCUAGCUGAGUACACGACUACAGUGGUACCAGAGGAGGAAGAGAUGAUCUUGGGAGCCCAGCCUCCCUCUUUGUUAUCGGUGGCAGAACGGCUGCACAGAAUUAGAAAGCGGCCAAGAAGAAUUAAGAAGGACUUUCUCCAUGAGGUUAUGAUGCGCUCCGCUGCCAAGAAACAGGAAUUGAAGGAGUGGCAGGACAGCGAGAAGAGGGACCGAAAGGAGAACGCAGCACACCAGAAAAAAGCCACGGAGCGGAUCUUAGAUGUUAUGGAGUGCUAAGUGGACAUGCUCCAGGCGAUACUAGCUCUUCAAACCGAGCAGCUCCGCACCCACCCUUCCCUGCAACCGCUGUCACAAAUCUCUUUCCUAUGCACCCCACACACACCGCCAACACACUGUUAUCAACCUCCUGUCUCCACUCUCUACCCGCAGCAUU